GUAGGGAAUAUUGCGCAAUGGACGAAAGUCUGACGCAGCGACGCCGCGUGAGUGAUGAAGGCCUUAGGGUCGUAAAGCUCUGUUGAAUGGGAAGAAAAAAAUGACGGUACCAUUCGAGGAAGGACCGGCUAACUUCGUGCCAGCAGCCGCGGUAAUACGAGGGGUCCUAGCGUUGUUCGGAAUCAUUGGGCGUAAAGGGUGUGUAGGUGGCCAUGUAAGUCAGGUGUGAAAGCCCCGGGCUCAACCCGGGAAGUGCACUUGAUACUGCGUGGCUUGAGUACCGAAGAGGGUAGUGGAAUUCCAGGUGUAGUGGUGAAAUACGUAGAUAUCUGGAGGAACACCGGUGGCGAAGGCGGAUAGCUGGCCAGACACUGACACUCAGACCCGAAAGCGUGGGGAUCAAACAGGAUUAGAAACCCCGGUAGUCC
rnacentral:rRNA from 1 species